GCACAGAGGAUGUCUUGGUGAUCCUGUUCAUGAUUCCAAUUGUCUUGCUGUUCCCACUGUCUUCACUGUUCACUGAACCCAGAGUAGGCAAGGCAUGAGCUAAGAGCCUGGAAGGAGACCUGAGGAGCCAUAGGAACUGCAGAUUACAUUACCAAAGGACAUGGUUAUAGCUUGGGCAGCAUUUACUGGAACUGAUCAUUAUGACACCCAUCCUCCUCUUCCUUACACCAAGUAGAGAGUAAGGAUGAAAAGAUCAACAGCAAAGAAAUUAAGAAAAUACAUUUUCUUCACAUACAUAACAAUAUAUACAUAAAGAAUCAAAUCAUAUUUAAAAUUUGCCAGUCUUUCAAUCCCCAUGGUAUUGUGGAGAAGCACUUUGAUGAACCUGACCUUGCUCUUCAAGUCUACACAAGAAUUAUGUCUGAGGCCCAUCUGAACAUCAGAAGAAAAUAGGCAGAUUCAUUCUAGAGAUGAGAAUUUACCUUGUAUCUGCCAUUUCUCCAUGGAACCAAUAAAACUAAAUCUGGAAUAACU
rnacentral:lncRNA from 1 species